AUGUCUGACGAUGAAAGCUCUGAUCCAAACAAGAAUGCUCGUUCUGAAAACGACUCUACAAUCAAAAGUAGUUCGUCAAAAGAAAAUCAAAAGAGUACAACCAUAUCGAGCCAAAACCUUGAUAUGUCGUGUUCAACGAUGUCAUUUUCUGGAGACCUAUGUGCCAAAUGGAAAAAUUGGUACGCAGAAUUUAAACUUUUUCUUCUUGCUGCUGGUUUAACCAAGGAAUCAGAUGCAAGAAAAAAUGCUUUACUAAUCAAAUGCAUGGGUAAACAAGCCUUCACCAUCUUUAAGUCUUUUGAAGCUGAUGUUGAGACUAUAUCACACACCUCUCUGGUUGAGAAAUUUCAAAAGCAUUUUGCACCGAAAGUAAAUGUAACUUUAGAGCGAAUCACAUUCUUCAGUCGCAAACAAAAAUCUGGAGAAUCUUUAGAAGAUUACUUAACAUCGCUUAAAAACUUGAGUCUAAAUUGUCAAUUAGAUACCUUAAAAGAAUCCAUCACCAAAGAUCUCUUUAUAGGUGGUCUAAACUCUGAAAAUCAAAACAUCAAAGAAAAACUCAUACUCUCUGAUGAAAAAGAACUCACUAAAAUCUUUGAAUUAGCUCAAAAAUUACAAUUGUCUAAAGAGCAUUCCAACAAACUCAGCAAAGAACUGAAUGCUAUCAGUUCUCAAUCAAGUUACUCUCAAAAAACCAGAUCAAGAUCACCAGAUAAGUCUCGUAGUUCUCACUAUCAUGCCUCUCGCUCUAGAAGAACAUCAUCCUCAUCACAAGAACGCUCACAAUCACCAAAUAGAUAUGGCAGAUCUUAUUAUUCUCCUAAGCGCUCAUUCCAUCGCAAUGGCAGUCCUCAUCCUCGCUACUCGCCUCAUCGAUCAUCCCGUCGCUAUGGAAGUCCACAUUCCAGUAGAAGUUCAUCAUCACCUACUCAUCGCCGUCCAAAAUCAAACUUCUGUGCCAACUGCGGCAAUGAGUAUCACCGAUACCAGUGUCCAGCUAUAAAUGUAAGGUGUCGAAGAUGCAACUCCAUUGGUCAUUUUCAAAAAAUGUGCCCAGUUAAAUAUGUCAAUAGUGUUCAAUACCGCCAUAAUCACAAACGUAGUGAUGCCAAUUCAAAUAAUAGUGAUAGUGAUGAUCAUUCUACCCUAUUUGUAGGCAAUAUCAAAUCCAAACCUACUAAUUUAUCCAAAAAGUGGUUCGAAACCAUUGUGAUUAAUAAAUUUAACCAUUGUGCUAGAAUCGACUCCGGAGCCGAAACCAAUAUUAUGUCUUUAAACUCAUUUAAAAAUUUAAAAUUAAAUCCGAAGUGCAUCGUAAAAUCAAGUGCAAAUCUUACAACCCUUGAUCAGCACAACAUUGAUAAUCUAGGUGAAUGUGAUGUCAACUUUGUGUUUCGAAACAAAUCUUUCACUGCUGUUUUUCAUAUUGUCAACUUUGAUACUUACACUUUAAUUGGAUUAGAAUUAGCAGAAGAACUAGGUUUGAUUUGCAGAGUAAAUUCAGUUCAAACUGAGGAGUCCAAACUAAGCAAAUAUUAA
rnacentral:lncRNA from 1 species